rnacentral:misc_RNA from 1 species
GGGAGUAAAAGUCGUAACAAGGUAUCCGUAGGUGAACCUGCGGAAGGAUCAUUAUUGUAUAACCGAGGUGCGAGGGCUGUCGCUGACCCGAAAGGUCGUGCACGCCCGAGUGCCCUCACACACAUCCAUCUCACCCCUAUGUGCACCACCGCGUGGGUCCCCCUUUGGCUUGUUCGGAGGGGGGCUUACGUUUUCACACAAACUUUGUAUGCAGUGUAGAAUGUAUUUUUUGUUUUUGCGAUCACGCAAUCAAUACAACUUUCAACAACGGAUCUCUUGGCUCUC